AACGAACGCUGGCGGCAUGCCUAACACAUGCAAGUCGAACGAGACCUUCGGGUCUAGUGGCGCACGGGUGCGUAACGCGUGGGAACCUUCCCUUAGGUUCGGCAUAACUCCCCGAAAGGGGUGCUAAUACCGGAUAAUGUCUUCUGACCAAAGAUUUAUCGCCUUUGGAUGGUCCCUCGUUGGAUUAGCUAGUUGGUAGGGUAAAAGCCUACCAAGGCGACGAUACAUAGCUGGUCUGAGAGGAUGAUCAGCCACACUGGGACUGAGACACGGCCCAGAAUCCUACGGGAGGGAGGAGUGCGGAAUAGUGGAACAUGGGGGAAAGCAUGAUCGAGCAAUGCCGCGUGAGUGAUGAAGGCAUUAGGGUUGUAAAGCUCUUUUAACCGGGAUGAUAAUGACAGUACCGGGAGAAUAAGCUACGGCUAACUCCGUG
rnacentral:rRNA from 1 species